GAAACCACGUGAGGACUUGUGGAUCCCACGUUGAGGUGCAUCGAGAGGGCCCACCCUUCUCACUGUACAGUCCCACGUUAAGGAUGGAACCAGCUGCAUCAACUUCCAGUACGACGGUGUUGUAAAAAAGGUGCCUUUGGUGGUCAGGAGCACAACAGCUCUGCUGAUGUGUUAUUUAAGUGUGUUCUUACAUCUGAGUUUCCUCAUAGCAGUAUGUAGCUGAGGGGGUCCAACUUUCCCAGGGAAGAUUUAUGGUUUUUCUCCUACCAAGCACCAGCUCAGUAUACAAAGCUCUGUUAAUAACACCCAAGCAUGUAGAUGUUAAACUGAAACUGCUUUUAAACCUAGUUGUUGUUACAAAAAUAGCUUAAUACACCAUCUUCAGAGGGUAAAAAUUCACAUGGAAGUACAGAAAAAUCCAGAAGCGCUUCCUGAGCUUCAGUUUACCAACAGCACCAUCGGAUUUAGAUCGUGGCCUGGCAGCCAGGAUGCAGGGUCUGUAAGCAUUGCUGCGAUGUGGAAGUUGCAAGGCAGGUUUCUGGCCUGCCCUGACUAAAAGACCUUUUUUUUUCAUACAAACAGCGUGCCAGGUACGCUGUAAUGCCAAUGUGCCAGGUCAAUAGAGGAUGUCAAACAACAGAGGCGUUUAUCCUAAUUUCUGGCAUGAAAACACUUUUAACAGCAUUCUUUUCACCAAGAAACCCCUCUCUAUCUUCUCCAAUACUCCAGGAUCUGCUGCAGCUGCAGCAGCCGCGCUGCUACAACCCACAUCUUUGCCAAAUCUUUUCAAUAAUUGUGCUUUACCUCGGCAAUGUUGAGGUCACUCCUCUUCCUCCUCCAGCUGAGGAAGCAGCUCGCUGGCUCUGCCACACCGCAGGUGCGGAAGCGAAAGCUGGGAACACAGGAGUCAAACUCUCAGUGCUCACAAAGCCACCAGGGCACAGGCCUGACACAGAGGCACCCCGGAUCCACUCUCCCUCCCCGCUGCGAGGCUCGCAGCAGCCCCGACCCGAAGCGCACACAAUGCUUCGCAUGGUGAUGUCACCGCUGAUUCUGAGUCCCCAGGUGAGGAUCUGCCUCACCACUCUCAACGCUGGGGUUGGGUUUUGGUUUUGUUUUUUUUUUUUCUUUUAAACAUUCACAGCUUAUGGGAAACCAUCAGGUAAACCACAGAUGGCUAGGGAAGAAGUCCCACACGAGGGAAGUCCGUGCUUUUCUUCCAGGCAGCAGCACGUGCUUUAACACGCCGCGUUCGACAAAGCAGCUCUCCCCGUUUUGCUCAGUGGCAACAGGCACGACUGCAACGCACACAGGUGUAGGCAGCACCUGCAGGUCCCAAACCCUUAACCGGUUUGUAGAGAGCACCAAUUUUUGAAGUAGUGGUUUUCCCUUAAUCCAUGACCCCUUCUUUCCUUUAUUUAAAGCGGGUGGCUCUCCUCCAUUUUCCUCCUCAGUGUCUGAGCAGACACUGGGAAUCGUUUCUGGAGGAAGGGCACUGCUGAAGCUCCUACAUCUACUCUCCGAGAAAAGAGAGUAUGUCAAAGAAUACAGAUUUCCUUUCUUUUUCCCUUUUGAAAUACAAUUUCUGAUAUCAACGCUGCGGCCUGGCAGCAAAUACCUACGGGACUAAAGAGGAUUCCUCAUCCUCACUGUAACGUUGUAGUUAACCUCCCAACGAACCCAUCUCCCCAGGAAGCGGCCAUUUGAGAUGGGAAGGGGCAGAGCAAGAGGAAGCUCUCCUUAGCCUAGCUCUUCCCCCAACACCACCUCGCCACCCAGCACCAAAUUCAAUUCACCUGCUCCACCCGAUCAGUCGAACGGGCGUCCGACGCUGGCACACGCCACAGCGGUGGUUCUGACGUGGCUUAAAUCACCUAUCCGCAGAAUAUCUCGGGUCUGUACGCUCCAAUAACGCAGUAGUUGAGAAAUAACGCCCAGAGCUCACACUCUGAGUGCAGCCCAACAGCACCGAAGCACCGGGAGGCUAAACAUUCCCAACCUGGCAACAAGGCUGACCCAAGCAACAGCACGGAACCCUUCUGCACCUUCAGCGUGGACAUCAGCGGAAGGAAACACAGAUUUUUCUUUUCUCCUGGGGCUGCACCGCUCAGGGCCAGCAGAGCAGUGCUUCCCCUUCCCUUCUCUGUCUGUGCCAAGAUCGUGCCUCGUCUCUCGAGUCCUGCCCGUGAUGGUGCCUGGCCUCAGCCCCUUGAGGCGGCCAUUCCUCCACCACCGCAGCUCUCUUGGCAAGCUGCGAGUCAUUUUAUGUCUUGUCACGGCUUUCCAGAGCCAGGCACACAGGUUCUGGAGAAGGCUGGGGCAGGACAAGCCUGCUUUAAGCCCCAAACCUGCCUCCUUUACUGUCUCCUCUCAGGCCAGGCCUACCCUCCGGGCCCAGCAGCACUCAUCCUGCCUGCCCCAGGACCCGCAGGUUGCACCCUGUGGUAGCAGCAAAGAGCCCCCCAAAUGUCUGUCCUGGGGUACACAGGGGUGAGGCAGCCCCGUCACUGCACAGACACCCGUGGGACACGUCACCAGAGCCGCUAUCGGCUUGGCAAUUAAGGACGUGGGAGAGGAGCCCACGUCACGCAAGCAUUCGUGGCUGCCCUGGACAAAGAAAGAAACAGUGGCUGUUUUUCUCCCCAUUUAAACAGCUAAAAGCACCGCUAACAGUUUCUUUCUUUGCGUCCAGCCUGUACUACGUUUAAAGAAAGAAGCAGCUUCUGCUGAGGAGGUGGAAGAUGCUGUCAGCAGAAACACCGUGCCUAGAAUGCGAGCAGGGAAGACAGCGAUGCUGCGAAAUAAAGCUUUUACAGCCGCUUCAGAUCAGUUGGCCCGGGCUCCAAGGGUCAGACACCCAUCUGGGAAGAUUGAAUUUCCUCCUCGAUAGCCUUGCCCAGCUCAAUCUUGCCAUCCUGACUUGGCUCCAGAGAAAGCCUCUUAUUAAAGGCACAGAGAAACAAUAGCUUCUCGGCCAAAAACUAGGAGUUCAAGCAAUCCAGUGAAAAAGCUGUGCUUGGGAACAAGAAUGUUUCAGAGGCUAGUUGAUUUUAGUUCUCAUCGUCACUCGUGUCAUGGCAAAGGGCCUCUACAGAGGCAAAAGAGUCUCAGCACUGAGGUAGGACAUAGCUCAAACACCAGCCCCAGAAGGUGGAGAUCAUAGCCUUGACUCACCCUAAAGGCAUCACAGAAAGGGCACCAGGUAAGAGGACAAGGAGGGUUUUGGCUCUAGGGUUAGUUUGUCACAUAGCCCAGGAGCCACUGGCUUUGGCUAGCAUUUGACAACUGAUUCUGGACCUUGAAUGGACGAAGCCAUACUCUGCCUCUGAAUAAUGAGGCUUGCAUAGAGAGAAAACCCACACUGCCUAUAGGGACUCUGUCAUAGCAGUGGGCUUGCUUCUUGAUCCCCAUCCCUCUUUCCACCCUGCAGGCCCUACUUGCACGCUCUGCCUUGCUUAGAUGGGAAGCUCAGCCAUUCAUCCAGCACCACGAGAAGAUGUGGGAUUAAUUUCACAAGCUGGUGGACACACUGAGGACGUCACAGUUAGAUGUGGGCACAUUUUAUUCUCUGGAUGCACUCGCGCAUUGUUUCUGUUCAACAGCCAAAGCUUUAUUGAUACAAAACCAUUUCCCUUCUCCCCCACCCCCAGCAUGUUUUAUUUAUUUAUUUAUUUAUUUUUAAAUUUUGUAUAUGUAUCCCUUUUCCCACCCCUCAACUGCUCGUCCACUUCUGAUUUGAGUAAUAUCUCUGCUUGGAGUCUGUUUUCUCAGAAGAAGCUAACUGACAAUUCAUUCAUUUUUUUUUUCUCCCAAGAACCAUAUAAAUUACAUGCAAAACAUUGUACAUAGAGAUUAGUAUCAAAAUGCAAUACAGAUCAGGUGCACUUUAAGCUGGACUCUAGGAUAUGGCAAACACACCAGGGUACAUAUUGCUUUGAAACCACCAUUUUUUUUUAAUGUCAUGCAUACCACAUAAUAUUCAGUCUUUUGUUUUGUAUUUUUCUGUUUUUAUACAAAAAUACCAGUGCUUAUUAUACUAGUUACUGGAAAAGAAAAAAAAAUCAGAUCUGUGUGUCCUCUUCAAAUCAAAAUUUUGUUGUGAGAGCACUGGAUAAAUAUAUAUACACACACCAACAAGUGUCAUAAGCUUUGCCUUUGCUGAAGGAAGAUAAAUAGUACCAAGAAAAUCUGUCUAGUUUGUUUUACAGGCUUGUCUUUCUCAGUAUGGAACAAACUGACCUCCCUGGUCUAACUUUGCAGUUGCCUAUUCUGCCUUUGUCCUGGAGAGAAGAGCAAGAAAAGAACAAAUCUAUUUUUGCACUCCAAAAACGCAUUAGAGGAGGAUUAUCACACCCACCUAAGGGUACUUCCUUGUUUGUUUAUAAAGCACCAAGUAUUUCUCUUGGACAGAGACUGUUGCUGGCUUGCUUUGUGCCUUCCAUUUAUAAUAAAGAUAUUAUAAAAAAGAUAUUAUAAAAAAGAUAAUAAAGAUAUUAAGAUGCUUA